rnacentral:rRNA from 1 species
AUCAACUUUCGAUGGUAGGAUAGAGGCCUACCAUGGUGGUAACGGGUAACGGGGUGUUAGGGCACGACACCGGAGAGGGAGCCUGAGAAACGGCUACCACAUCCAAGGAUGGCAGCAGGCGCGCAAAUUACCCAAUCCCGACACGGGGAGGUAGUGACAAUAAAUAACAAUACGGGGUUCUUUCGGAUUUCGUAAUUGGAAUGAGUACAAUUUAAAUCUCUUAACGAGGAACAAUUGGAGGGCAAGUCUGGUGCCAGCAGCCGCGGUAAUUCCAGCUCCAAUAGCGUAUAUUAAAGUUGUUGCAGUUAAAAAGCUCGUAGUUGAAUUUCGGGAUCAAUAUAUCGGUCGUGCCUUCGGUAUGAACUGGUAUUAUUGAUUUCUACCUUCUGACGAAUCAUGAUGUCAUUAAUUUGGUGUCAUGGGGAAUCAGGACUGUUACUUUGAAAAAAUUAGAGUGUUUAAAGCAGGCACACGCUUGAAUACAUUAGCAUGGAAUAAUGAAAUAGGACGUUUGAUCUUAUUUUGUUGGUUUCUAGGAUCGACGUAAUGAUUAAUAGGGAUAGUUGGGGGCAUUAGUAUUCAAUUGUCAGAGGUGAAAUUCUUGGAUUUAUUGAAGACUAACUACUGCGAAAGCAUUUGCCAAGGAUGUUUUCAUUAAUCAAGAACGAAAGUUAGGGGAUCGAAGACGAUCAGAUACCGUCGUAGUCUUAACCAUAAACUAUGCCGACUAGGGAUCGGAUGAUGUUAAUUUUUUAAUGACUCAUUCGGCGCCUUACGGGAAACCAAAGUGUUUGGGUUC